AAUGAACGCUGGCGGCGCGCCUAAUACAUGCAAGUCGAGCGAGAAGACGUAGCAAUACGUUUGUAAAGCGGCGAACGGGUGAGGAAUACAUGGGUAACCUACCCUCGAGUGGGGAAUAACUAGCCGAAAGGUUAGCUAAUACCGCGUACGCUUCUUGGACUUCGGUUCAGGGAGGAAAGCGAUGCCGAGGGUAUCGCGCUCUUGGGAUGGGCUCAUGUCCUAUCAGCUUGUUGGGAGGUAACGGCUCACCAAGGCUUCGACGGGUAGCUGGUCUGAGAGGACGAUCAGCCACACUGGCACUGCGACACGGGCCAGACUCUACGGGAGGCAGCAGUAAGGAAUAUUGCGCAAUGGGCGAAAGCCUGACGCAGCGACGCC
rnacentral:rRNA from 1 species